GGUUUUAUAGUUUAUUGAGAAUUGUAAAUUGCAAAUUUAUAGGAGAAUUGUUCUAAAACUU
rnacentral:tRNA from 1 species